CGUAGGUGAACCUGCGGAAGGAUCAUUAGCUGUGAUUUAGUACUACACUGCGUGAGCGGAACGAAAACAACAACACCUAAAAUGUGGAAUAUAGCAUAUAGUCGACAAGAGAAAUCUACGAAAAACAAACAAAACUUUCAACAACGGAUCUCUUGGUUCUCGCAUCGAUGAAGAGCGCAGCGAAAUGCGAUACCUAGUGUGAAUUGCAGCCAUCGUGAAUCAUCGAGUUCUUGAACGCACAUUGCGCCCCUCGGCAUUCCGGGGGGCAUGCCUGUUUGAGCGUCGUUUCCAUCCUGCGCGUGCGCAGAGUUGGGGGAGCGGAGCGGACGACGUGUAAAGAGCGUCGGAGCUGCGACUCGCCUGAAAGGGAGCGAAGCUGGCCGAGCGAACUAGACUUUUUUCAGGGACGCUGCUGGCCGAGAGGCGAGUGUUGCGAGACAACAAAAAGCUCGACCUCAAAAGUAUCCGCUGAACUU
rnacentral:rRNA from 1 species